rnacentral:tRNA from 2 species
GCCGACAUAGCUCAGGGGCAGAGCACUUCCUUGGUAAGGAAGAGGUCCCGGGUUCAAAUCCCGGUGUCGGCUCCA